GUGACCUUAUGUGACCUAAGCUUUUCUGGUACUUAAGGUCAGGCUAUAUAGUGACCUUAUGUGACCUUGAAGUGACCUAGUGGCUUUGAAAUGUGACCUGCUAAUGUUUGUCAGAAAUGUGUCUUCCUUUGGCCAUCCAGUGACCUUAUGUGACCUAAGCUUUUCUGGUACUUAAGGUCAGGCUAUUUAGUGACCUUAUGUGACCUUGAAGUGACCUAGUGUGGCUUUGAAAUGUAACCUGCUAAUGUUUGUCAGAAAUGUGCCUUCCUUCGGCCAUCCAGUGACCUUAUGUGACCUAAACUUUGGUGGUAAUUAAGGUCAGGCUAUUUAGUGACCUUAUGUGACCUUGAAGUGACCUAGUGUGGCUUUGAAAUGUAACCUGCUAAUGUUUGUCAGAAAUGUGCCUUCCUUCGGCCAUCCAGUGACCUUAUGUGACCUAACGUGACCUGAGCUUUUUUGGCACAUAAGGUUCGGCUAUGUAAUGAUCAAAUGUGACCUUGAAGUGACCUAGUGUGGCCUUGAAUAGUGACCUGGCGAAAGUUUGGGUCAGAAAUAUGUGUUCCUUCAACGAUCCAGUGACCUUUUAUGACCUAAGCUUUUUUGGUACAUAAGGUCCGGGUGUUUAAUGAUCAAAUGUGACCUUAAAGUGACCUAGUGUGACCUUGAAUAGUGACCUGGCGAAAGUCUAGGUCGAAAAUGUGUGUUCCUUCAGCGAGUGACCUAAUAUGACCUAACGUGACCUUGAAAUGACCUAGUGUGGCCUUAAAAUGUUACCUGCUGAUGUUGAGGUCACACAUGUGUCUUCCUUUGGCGAUCCAGUGACCUAACGUGACCUUGAAGUGAACUAACGCGUUUGUGACCUGUUCGAAGGUUAGGUCAGCAUCGUGUCUUCAUUCGGAGAUCCAGUGACCUCUACUGACCUAAUGUAACUUUGUCCGAAGAAGGAUUUUGGUGAUUCAGUUACCUUGAAGUGAUAUACAGUAUGCUAAUGUGAUCUAUUUAUCUUGUUAUUUGGUACGAAGGUCACAAAUGGGCGUGCCUUACCCUAUACCCGUGACAUUGAACGUGACCUGACCUUGUUAUUCGUCAGCUCAAGUCAGAAACAUGUACUCCGUCACCUUCAGUAUGUAUGACCUCAUGUGAUGUGUGACCUCGUGAUGUUAACUGCUGGAGUGACCUUGCCUUAUGUGAACUUGUUAGCAGGAAGUGGAGGUCAAUAUGUGUGUCUUCCUUAUGUUGUUAUAAAGAAGUUGUGAUUGAU